GCCUAGUGGCCUAGUGGUCAUGGCAUCUGCCCGGUAAGCGGAAGGUCGUGGGUUCGAUUCCCAUCCCUAGACA
rnacentral:tRNA from 1 species